rnacentral:lncRNA from 1 species
AUGGUGCGGAUAGACUUUGCAAAGUUCAAACUACCCUUCUUCAGCGGAAGAUGGAAUGAAGACCUCGCAGACCAUUUUCGUCGCCUAGAAACUGAGGGAAAAGCAUACGGAUGGGAAGAAGCAGACAUGAAAAGAGUGCUCGCCUUCUUCUUAGCAGGAGCGGCAAGGGAUUGGUAUGACAGAAAAGAAGCAGAACUGGAACCCAAAACGCUAAAUGAAAUCAAGGCAGAAUUCAAAAAAAGGUUCGAGUCGCAAAGCAGCCAAUCUCCGUACGCAACCCUCUCGGCGAGAAAACAAAAGUUGACGGAAAGGCCGAUGGACUAUUUCGACGCAAUGGCGCACUUGCGGAAGAAAAUAGCAAAUAAUUUCACCGAUCACGACUUCAUCGUACAUGUCCUGGACGGCUUACUGCCUGAGCCGCAGAGAAUGGCCAGACAAGUCAACCCAGAGACAAUCGAAGACUUGGAAAAAGAGAUCAGGAACAUCGAAGAGUCGCUGAAACUGGUAGGCAACCCGCCCAACCUCAGAGACUCAGACGAAGCAUCCAGCUCAGCGAACCAUUCAGAGGUGACGAAACGGUUGGAACGACUGGAAAGACUCCUAACUGCUCAGGUGGCACCAACAGCUCCGGCACCACUGGAACACGAACACCCCAACCACCCCAUCGAUCAGUUAGUCGCAGCCAUCACAAAAUUGGCGGGGCAACCCAACCAAGGGGGUUGCUUCCGGUGCGGUGAUAAAUUCCACAGAAUCGCCGACUACCCUAUCAAGGAAAACACAAAAAUCUGCUGUAAUUGUAGCAACGUCGGCCAUUUUGCGAGGGACUGCGUUAUGCCCCAACGACAAUUGCAAGGAUCAUCCCCUAGCAGACACCGAGACCGAUCGCAGGAGAGAUCGGACGAAACUUGCCAGCUCUGUAACGCUGUUGGCCACGGGGCUUUACAAUGCUUCAAACUGAACGAUUACGCUAAGCAGCAAAAAACUAAUAGAGCCUCCUAUUGCAACGGGUUCCAAGGCAAUAACGAAUCAUGA